UACGAAGGGGGCUAGCGUUGAUCGGAAUUACUGGGCGUAAAGCGCACGUAGGCGGAUUAGUAAGUCAGGGGUGAAAUCCCGGGGCUUAACCUCGGAACUGCAGUUGAUACUGCUGAUCUCGAGUAUGGAAGAGGUGAGUGGAAUUCCUAGUGUAGAGGUGAAAUUCGUAGAUAUUAGGAAGAACACCAGUGGCGAAGGCGGCUCACUGGUCAGGUACUGACGCUGAGGUGCGAAAGCGUGGGGAGCAAACAGG
rnacentral:rRNA from 1 species